UACCUGGAGGACUAGUGGUUAGGCCGUGGUGCUUUCACUGCCACGGCCCAGGUUUGAUUCUCAGCCAGGGAA